AGCAGCAUGGCUAAGUGGAAAGAGCAUGGGCUUGGGACUCAGAGGUCAUGGGUUCAAAUCCCAAUUCAGCCA
rnacentral:tRNA from 1 species